rnacentral:rRNA from 1 species
UACAGAGGUCCCAAGCGUUGUUCGGAUUCAUUGGGCGUAAAGGGUGUGUAGGUGGCGCCGUAAGUCGGGUGUGAAAUUUCGGAGCUUAACUCCGAAACUGCAUUCGAUACUGCGGUGCUUGAGGACUUGGAGAGGGAGACUGGAAUUCAUGGUGUAGCAGUGAAAUGCGUAGAGAUCAUGAGGAAGACCAGUGGCGAAGGCGGGUCUCUGGACAGUUCCUGACACUGAGACACGAAGGCCAGGGAGGCAAACGGG